UGUUAUCAUUUACUUCAAAUUAUUUUCUAACUUGAAUUGUGAUGUAUUUUGGGGUUAUUUAGAAGUGUAUUUGAUAAAUCUUAAAUAUUAGGAGUUUCUAGGUGCCUUCUGUUCCUGCUUUGUAGAUUAACUGCAAUGACAACAAGAAACGUACUGUAUAUAAUUUCAUUUCUGUGAAGUUUGUUGAAACUUGCUUCAUAGCACUGCGUGGUCUGAUCAACUAUAAUUGAAGUGUGCCCCUCUGCUGCCACCUCGUGUGCACUUUGGAAAAACACCUUCGUGCCUUUCAGCAAUUUUGAAGAGCCGGCCUUGUGUAAUUAUCGGCUGGGACACAGCUAACUUCUGACACUGCUGAAGCCAAGAGAUCAAUGACACCUGCCAGCAAAGCAAUGAAAAAAUAUCCUUGGGUGAGGAUUAAAAAACAAAAGAAAACAAAACCAAAGCAGGUAAAACCUUUGCCCUACCCAUUGUGACUAACUUGGUUGAGCAUCGUCCCAUGCAUCCAAAGGUCACCUGUUCAAUUCCAGGUCUGGAUACAUGCCCAAGUUGUGGGUUCAACAAAAGGCAACUGAUGAAUCUCACCGUUUGUGAUUGACAUACCUCUCACAUGGAUGUUUCUCUCUUUUUCCCUCUGUUUUCCUAUCUCUGAAAUCAAUAAAACUGUAUUUAAAAACCCAAAUAAAUAAAACAGGUAAAACCCUUAAAACAAAGGUGUGCGUUGUUCCUCACUCCUGUGUCUUCCCUUCUCU